CCUACGGGAGGCAGCAGUGGGGAAUAUUGCACAAUGGGGGAAACCCUGAUGCAGCGACGCCGCGUGAGUGAAGAAGUAAUUCGUUAUGUAAAGCUCUAUCAGCAGGGAAGAAAAUGACGGUACCUGAGUAAGAAGCCCCGGCUAACUACGUGCCAGCAGCCGCGGUAAUACGUAGGGGGCAAGCGUUAACCGGAUUUACUGGGUGGAAAGGGAGCGUAGACGGCAGUGCAAGUCUGGAGUGAAAGGCGGGGGCUCAACCCCCGGACUGCUCUGGAAACUGUACGGCUGGAGUGCAGGAGAGGGAAGUGGAAUUCCUAGUGUAGCGGUGAAAUGCGUAGAUAUUAGGAGGAACACCAGUGGCGAAGGCGGCUUACUGGACUGUAACUGACGUUGAGGCUCGAAAGCGUGGGGAGCAAACAGGAUUAGAUACCCCAGUAGUC
rnacentral:rRNA from 1 species